rnacentral:pre_miRNA from 1 species
GGUAAUACAUGUUUCAGUUCGUUGGAAGAUUCGACCUUGACAUUGUUCCAUAGAAUUUGUCAGAUCUAACUCUUCCAGCUCAUUGAGAUUUGUUUAAAAAC